AGGAUCAAGGCAAAAAACGAGAGCAAAAAAUGGUGCACGCUGAAGGCGGAAAUGAAGCAUGAUCUGGCUUGCAUCUGGUCAUGAAGAAAUUGCUGACACGUUAGUUGCAGUCCACCUCCACCAACAGGGUGGAAAACAAAGAUCGCCAUUCCGAUUAGCUGCUAUCUCCCAGUUCAAGCACUUUUGUGUCUGGACACUGGUUCCUGUGGAUGGGGUGUUACAAGCUUUACUGUCUGAUAUAGAAGUGAUGAGCAUCCAUCCAUAAGGACACAUGCC